AAAGAACAGGGUGAGAGUAAUUGUGUUGGCUUGACUCCAAAGCCUGGAGGAGUAGUCUCUUGCUACUCUCCCAGAUUAUCUGCCAGGAAACAGAAAGGUUAAUGAUGUAGAGCUUGAUUACUCUAGUAGAAAGAAAGAUUUUUGGAUCACCUUGAUCCAAAAAUCUUUAUUAUGUGUGUAAGGGAGAUGCAUCAAAAGGGCUCAGAGCUGGAAUAUGUUGUCUUCUCCAUUCUGUCUUUGAACAUCAGAGUAUUUGCCUUCUGGCAGAUAUGGUCUUGUAGGUAAUAGCUUUUUGCUGUGCAUACAUCUUUUUACCUGAAGCUUGUUGUUUAAUUUUAAGGCAUUUACAAUAGUUUUGUUGCUAAGAAAGCCAGUCUUCUUCAAUAUCAGCAGAAUAAACAUUUGAAUGUAUGCAUCGCUGGAACAGAUUGAACAUCAUUAGUUGAGGCUAGACAGCAGUGCCUGUACUGUACUCCUCGAGAUAGCUGUAAGAUCCAAGACCUGGGGACCAUGUCUCAGCUUCAGGGCAGGUGUGUCCUACUGUGUUGGCUGCUCAUCUUUUCCACCUUGUGUCUUAAGAUAAAAUGCAAUAAACAUCUAUAUGAGUGUCUCAAGCACUCUUGGGGAAGAAGACCUCAUUUAAAAG